rnacentral:rRNA from 1 species
GCUUAGCCCUAAACUUUAACAGUUAAAUCAACAAAACUGCUCGCCAGAACACUACGAGCCACAGCUUAAAACUCAAAGGACCUGGCGGUGCUUCAUAUCCCUCUAGAGGAGCCUGUUCUGUAAUCGAUAAACCCCGAUCAACCUCACCACCCCUUGCUCAGCCUAUAUACCGCCAUCUUCAGCAAACCCUGAUGAAGGCCACGAAGUAAGCGCAAGCAUCCACAUAAAGACGUUAGGUCAAGGUGUAGCCCAUGGAGUGGCAAGAAAUGGGCUACAUUUUCUACUUCAGAAAACUACGAUAGCCCUCAUGAAACCUGAGGGUCGAAGGUGGAUUUAGCAGUAAACUAAGAGUAGAGUGCUUAGUUGAACAGGGCCCUGAAGCGCGU